rnacentral:tRNA from 1 species
GGCGUGGCCCAGUGGUAAGGCAACGGGUUUUGGUCCCGUUACUCGGAGGUUCGAAUCCUUCCGUCCCAGA